CUCAGGUCGAGUCCGGUGGUCCGCUCGAUACGGGUGUGCACUGCCGUGACCGGUCUACGUCUGGUUUCAAGUCUGUAGUGCCCUUAACCGGGUGCUACAGAAUGCCAGAAAGUUUACUCUGAUAAAAUUAGAGUGCUCAAAGCAAGCCGUUGUGCUUGAAUACUGUUGCAUGGAAUAAUGGAAUAGGGCCUCGGAUCUAUUUUGUUGGUUUUCGGAGUCGAGGUAAUGAUUAAGAGGGACAGACGGGGGCAUUCGUAUUGCGCCGUUAGAGGUGAAAUUC
rnacentral:rRNA from 1 species